AAUAUCCACCACAAGAUCAGACAACACUUCCGAUUCCUAUCAUUAUGUUAAGUCUGUUGACUGUUGUGCUGUUUGCUGCAGUAAUAGGUUUAUUAAUGAUGAACCAUAAACGGUCUAAGAAAAUUCCUAAAUAUGUCAAUGCUCAUCAGAUUUCUACUUUGAAGUUUCGUGAGAGUAACAGAGGAAAAACAGAUCCUGAAUAUCUAGAGGUGCUGCCAAAUUUCUAGAGGUCCUGUAUGAAACAGUGUUGAUUUAUUGCUGUUUGCUUCAAAUGAGCAGAAUUCUGCGCUGCUUGAACAUGUAAUGAAAUGAUUUGCUCUUGUCUGUUCAUUAUAAUACAUGACUAAAAUCUGUCUGCAAUGAAAA